rnacentral:rRNA from 1 species
CAGCAGCCGCGGGAAUACGUAGGGUGCGAGCGUUAAUCGGAAUUACUGGGCGUAAAGCGUGCGUAGGCGGUGAGUUAAGUCUGCUGUGAAAUCCCCGGGCUCAACCUGGGAAUGGCAGUGGAUACUGGCUCGCUAGAGUGUGUCAGAGGAUGGUGGAAUUCCCGGUGUAGCGGUGAAAUGCGUAGAGAUCGGGAGGAACAUCAGUGGCGAAGGCGGCCAUCUGGGACAACACUGACGCUGAGGCACGAAAGCGUGGGGAGCAAACAGGAUUAGAUACCCCAGUAGUCCCUGUCUCUUAUAC